ACUCCUGCGGGAGGCAGCAGUGGGGAAUAUUGGACAAUGGGCGCAAGCCUGAUCCAGCCAUGCCGCGUGAGUGAUGAAGGCCCUAGGGUUGUAAAGCUCUUUCACCGGUGAAGAUAAUGACGGUAACCGGAGAAGAAGCCCCGGCUAACUUCGUGCCAGCAGCCGCGGUAAUACGAAGGGGGCUAGCGUUGUUCGGAUUUACUGGGCGUAAAGCGCACGUAGGCGGACUAUUAAGUCAGGGGUGAAAUCCCGGGGCUCAACCCCGGAACUGCCUUUGAUACUGGUAGUCUUGAGUUCGAGAGAGGUGAGUGGAAUUCCGAGUGUAGAGGUGAAAUUCGUAGAUAUUCGGAGGAACACCAGUGGCGAAGGCGGCUCACUGGCUCGAUACUGACGCUGAGGUGCGAAAGCGUGGGGAGCAAACAGGAUUAGAAACCCCAGUAGUCCCAUG
rnacentral:rRNA from 1 species